rnacentral:rRNA from 1 species
CCUACGGGUGGCAGCAGUAGGGAAUCUUCCACAAUGGACGAAAGCCUGAUGGAGCAACGCAGCGUGAGUGAAGAAGGGUUUCGGCUCGUAAAGCUCUGUUGGUAGUGAAGAAAGAUAGAGGUAGUAACUGGCCUUUAUUUGACUGUAAUUACUUAGAAAGUCACGGCUAACUACGUGCCAGCCGCUGCGGUAAUACUUAGGUGGCAAGCGUUGUCCGGAUUUAUUGGGCGUAAAGCGAGUGCAGGCGUUUUAAUAAGUCUGAUGUGAAAGACUUCGGCUCAACCGGAGAAUUGCAUUAGAUACUGGUGAACUUGAGUGCAGAUGAGGAGAGUGGAACUCCAUGUGUAGCGGUGGAAUGCGUAGAUAUAUGGAAGAACACCAGUGGCGAAGGCGGCUCUCUAGUCUGCAACUGACGCGGAGGCUCGAAAGCAUGGGUAGCGAACAGGAUUAGAUACCCGAGUAGUC